rnacentral:rRNA from 1 species
UAGGGAAUCUUCGGCAAUGGACGAAAGUCUGACCGAGCAACGCCGCGUGAGUGAAGAAGGUUUUCGGAUCGUAAAACUCUGUUGUUAGAGAAGAACAAGGACGUUAGUAACUGAACGUCCCCUGACGGUAUCUAACCAGAAAGCCACGGCUAACUACGUGCCAGCAGCCGCGGUAAUACGUAGGUGGCAAGCGUUGUCCGGAUUUAUUGGGCGUAAAGCGAGCGCAGGCGGUUUCUUAAGUCUGAUGUGAAAGCCCCCGGCUCAACCGGGGAGGGUCAGUGGAAACUGGGAGACUUGAGUGCAGAAGAGGAGAGUGGAAUUCCAUGUGUAGCGGUGAAAUGCGUAGAUAUAUGGAGGAACACCAGUGGCGAAGGCGGCUCUCUAGUCUGUAACUGACGCUGAGGAUCGAAAGCGUGGGGAGCAAACAGG